UACAGAGGGGGCAAGCGUUGUUCGGAAUUAUUGGGCGUAAAGGGCGCGUAGGCGGUCGUGCAAGUGGAAGGUGAAAUCCCUCGGCUCAACCGAGGAACUGCCUUUCAAACUGCUUGGCUUGAGUCCGGGAGAGGUGAGUGGAAUUCCCAGUGUAGCGGUGAAAUGCGUAGAUAUUGGGAGGAACACCAGUGGCGAAGGCGGCUCACUGGACCGGAACUGACGCUGAGGCGCGAAAGCGUGGGGAGCAAACGGG
rnacentral:rRNA from 1 species